UGGGGUAUCGCCAAGCGGUAAGGCACGGGACUUUGACUCCCGCAUUCGUAGGUUCAAAUCCUGCUACCCCAGCCA
rnacentral:tRNA from 6 species